AUUUUAACUUAUGUUUUAAUGUUAGGGCUUUUAUUUUUGCCGAUCAUUGACAAAAAUUGACUUAUGUAUCGUUUUUAAUAUUCCUUCAAGCUAUAAAACUCCAAGUUAAAUCUUCUCUUUAUGCAACGUUGCCUUGUUAUUUCCUUUACAUGCUACUCUUUCUUUAUCACCUGAAGAAUAAAGUGCAUGCUAUCACCCCGCUUCAGAUAUUCUGCAACUUGAAGAAAGCUCAACUACUAGCUGAACUAUAGCCCUGAUGCAGAUGUUCUAGAAAACUCAUGAUAGUAUUGUACUGUUCGCUUAAAGAAUUGUAUAAUAGAAUGAUCUCCAAUAUUUAGUUUACAAGGAUGUCCAGAAAUCAUUUUCCAAGUUUUCUUUGCAUGACAGCUUUAUCAAAACUAAUGAAGUUGUUUAAAAAAAAUAAUGAACUUCCAUACAUAAUAUGCCAUUCAUGUUUGUUAUGCUUCUUAUUAUGCUGAUGACUUCAGGAAAUUUGUUGCUAAAAUGGUCUUUGGACUUUCAGCAAUGACAUGCAAACCAACAAAAAUUCUGUGUUUAAAUGCUGAAUAGUGUAAUUAAAUGAAAUUUUGAUCUUCUUCAUACAAACAGUGCUGUAUUUCUGAUUUGUCACGCUUAUUAUCAUAUUUAUUAUCAUUCAUUUGUAUAAUAAUAUUGAAAUGUAAAGAGGUAAAACAAACAAUAAUUUUGCAACAGAAAUUGAGAAAUAGCUGGAAUUCUGUUUUGAGUCUCUAAAUUUAGAGUUUUGAAUUUGUUUUGUAAAACAAAUGCGUUAAGGUUUAUGCUUGUUUGUCAUGUAAAAAUAUUGUUUUCAAUUUAGAUUUUUAAUAAAUUUUUCGGUAUUCAAUGCAAGGCUAAAAAAUUCAGGUAUACAUAAAAUUAUGAAAGAUAUAUUUAGGUUUGUUUAUUUCAGCAUUAAAUGAACAGUUCAUUGAUGCUUAUUCUCUUUGUGUAGUUAUCCAGAAAUCCCCCCUCUCAAGAAGAGAUUUUUCUCCCCACUUAAACUACAGGACAGGAUUUGAAUAACUGCAAAUAACUCCAAUUUUGGAAAGGAUAGGUAGCAACUGUUAUCUUAGUCCACUUCCGACUGUCAAUGCACCUUCUCUGUUUCUGACUAAAUUCUGGAAGCA